rnacentral:rRNA from 1 species
UGAGGAAUCUUCCACAAUGGGCGAAAGCCUGAUGGAGCAACGCCGCGUGCAGGAUGAAGGCCUUCGGGUCGUAAACUGCUUUUAUUUGUGAAGAAUAUGACGGUAACAAAUGAAUAAGGAUCGGCUAACUACGUGCCAGCAGCCGCGGUCAUACGUAGGAUCCAAGCGUUAUCCGGAGUGACUGGGCGUAAAGAGUUGCGUAGGUGGUUAUAUAAGUGAAUAGUGAAAUCUGGCGGCUCAACCGUACAGGCUAUUAUUCAAACUGUAUAACUCGAGAAUGGUAGAGGUAACUGGAAUUUCUUGUGUAGGAGUGAAAUCCGUAGAUAUAAGAAGGAACACCAAUGGCGUAGGCAGGUUACUGGACCAUUUCUGACACUGAGGCACGAAAGCGUGGGGAGCGAACCGG